rnacentral:rRNA from 1 species
AACGAACGCUGGCGGCAUGCCUAACACAUGCAAGUCGAACGAGACCUUCGGGUCUAGUGGCGCACGGGUGCGUAACGCGUGGGAAUCUGCCCUUGGGUUCGGAAUAACAGUUGGAAACGACUGCUAAUACCGGAUGAUGACGUAAGUCCAAAGAUUUAUCGCCCAAGGAUGAGCCCGCGUAGGAUUAGCUAGUUGGUGAGGUAAAGGCUCACCAAGGCGACGAUCCUUAGCUGGUCUGAGAGGAUGAUCAGCCACACUGGGACUGAGUCACGGCCCAGACUCCUACGGGAGGCAGCAGUGGGGAAUAUUGGACAAUGGGCGAAAGCCUGAUCCAGCAAUGCCGCGUGAGUGAUGAAGGCCUUAGGGUUGUAAAGCUCUUUUACCCGGGAUGAUAAUGACAGUACCGGGAGAAUAAGCUCCGGCUAACUCCGUG